rnacentral:lncRNA from 1 species
CCGAAUAAAAGCAAAACAAAAUCACCACCUUCAGCAGAUGAGAUUGCUUGCUUCUAUCAUUAUUUUAUUUACAUUUAAAACGUAAAUUUUUUAAUAAAUUUACCACUGCAAUAAGCGAAUGUUGGAGAGUGGAUAAGAAGGACUGUGACCCCUUUGUUUCUUGUUUUAUAAAAAUAUGCGAUUUGUGUAUUCAUGUUAAUUCUACAAUAUCUGGAAAAUAUAUACCAAGCAUUAUGCUCCUUAUGUGAUAGUGGAAGAAGACUAAAGAAAACAGGAAUGAAAAACAACCAUUAAUUCUAGUCUGUACCAGGUAUUAAAAAGGAUAGCGCAUCUUGGCAAAGAACGGCAACCUGCACUGGGACAAUGUUAUCUGCCAACUAAUGCUGAUAACUACGUAUCUCCAAACCCAAACUUAAAUGUUUCCUCAAACCAAAACCCUGCAAGAAAACAAAGUAACAUUCAUAAACCCAGUACAGUAGAUACACACACCAAGUGCUAGAAAAUAUUUACCAAAACCAGCUUGCAAAUAGAAAACAAAAACUCGUGAAGCUUCCUCAAAUGCUAACAAAUUUCCUAAACAACAAUCUAACACAACUACUCAACAGGCUGGCAAUAUUUCAUCAAAGGAGAAAAUAAAUAAUAAGUACAAGCAAAGAGAAAGCAGCAGUUAUAAAAAUAAGGGUGAAAUUCACUGCUAUUACCUUUACACACUUUGGCCUGCUUAAUUCGGUCUGACCAAAAAAGAGAAAGAAACAGCAUAUUUGGAGCUCGGUAACUGCCCAACAAACCCGUGCUCUAUAUCAAGAACUUGCCGAUGUAAUCACAUAACAUAACUAUAUGUAGCUAUUUUAAUCACAUAAGAAACUAAAUAAGUGAACUGAAAACCAAUAACACCAAAGCUGUCACCACAUAUGCUUGUUCCAUAAGAUAAACCAAAUUCAAACAUAUGAUCUUAUUCGUACCUGGAAGACAAGAGGUUCAUUCAAAUCAACAAUGAAUUUGUGUGCAACCAUCUUCGCAAUUGCAUUAAAGAAAAAAAUAUGCUUAGCAAAGGAUUAAUAAAUUACUUUUUUUUUUAAAGAAUAACAAAAACAAGUAUAAAAAAAUAUAAUUACUAAUAAUUACAUUAGUUUAUUUUAUUGCUAUCAAAUACUAUUCAUGUUAUCAAAUACUUCUUUUGUCCCAUUGUGGGCAGGGCAGGCUCAAGUCCAUACAAUUCAGGCUCAAGUCCAUACAAUUCAGUUCUUUUAUAUGCUUCAAUAAAAACAACAAUCAUACCCUGGAAUGCCACUGUGAUUAAUUGUAUUAUUGCCUAUAGAUGUUUCAUCAAAUUUCAAAUGGUGUAAAGUGUACCCCGGAUUUGAAACAGCACAGGUCUGCUCUCAUUCACUAUAAAGUUUCCAUUUACUCAAGCUGAGAACUAGGGUAAUCUUUAACAUGAAGGUCUCAUGAAUUUAACUUUUCUCUAACAAGGUUAAGUCCCUACUGAUUAGUAAAGUCUGAGUUCAAAUUUUGUGAACAAAAAAAUAGUCGGAGAGAGCUUUCCUCGCUUUGAGGUCUUGCAUUUCGAUAAUAAAGUCUUACAAAAACAAAUCUUGACAGCUACCCAAAUUUUAAAAAAAAAACUAAAUUUGGGACGGGUGCUGUAAUGGGGUGGCCAUAUGAACUGACAACCUGAGAAUUGCUGCUUGAAACUCACUGGGAUUGUAUAUAUCAGCUUCAUACAAUCUUAACUUGGUUUGUGCAUUUGGGAGGCUUUUAAGAAGCCCUACUUUAUAAGCAUCUCCUGCAAGUCGCACCAUACAACUUAGAUACCAAGAACAGACAGAUAAACCAAAGACAACAAAGAGAGAAGAAAAAGUAACCCAAAUUCCUCGUAGUAGCUUGAACAAUGUGUCCCUUCCAGGAGCCUCUUGACAAGCGAAGAACCUAGGCAACCGGCAGCACCCAAAUUAAAAAAACAUUUGAACUACCCAAAUUAAAAUUUCUAAAAUUUUAACACGAUUGAAAACUAAAGGAAGUAAAUUUUAACAAACCCAAACAAAAAAAAAAUCAAAAACCUCACAUACUUGCUAAGACUGAGUUCGCUGCUGGGUAAAGUGGCUAGGCGUCGGGAAACUGGGUAAACGGUUGCUCGGUUACAGCCUCUGAGGAUAGGGGGCACAGUGGGUGUUUAGGGUUUCGAGAAAUCAAAGAACAGAAUGAGAAAUAAAAUAGAAUAACAGGUUGAGAGGAUUUCCGAGUAUAAAAUAGAAGAACAGGUUUUUAAUUUUAGUCAAGCAAAAAAGAACAGGCUGAGAAAGAAAAGGGAAUCGGGAAAGAAAAGGGAAUCGGGGGUGAGAAAUAAAACUGGGUGAGCAAAACUCGAUUUGACUCGAAAAAAUUAAAAAAAAAUUCAAAUUUUGAGUUAAACGAAUCGAGUUAUUCGAGUUAAUCGAGUUAUUCGAAUCAACUCAAAUUUUUUUUCAAAUUUCGAGUUCAAA